UGCGUGCGCGCACGUGCGCGUGGUUCGUUCGUUCGUGUCUCCAGGCUAGUAAGUACUGAGGGCUUCAUCUAUCUAAAAGGAGUCAUUUCCAUCUGAAUGUGGCAGCACCGGGACACAGCAGCAGAGCGAGUCAACAUCCAGAAGACUGGAGCCGUGUUUCACUGACAGGCUGUCAGACUAACGCCCUGAUGAGCUCAGCUGGGACAAACUGGUCUGAUGUUUAGGAACACAGAACGUUCAGAUGUUGGAGCUCACGUCACCUACUGAGGAAGGAGACCCACCAGUAAAGAGACGGUAGCUGGACCAGACCAAAAAUAUGACGAUGACAUCAUGGAACUGGUCUUUGGAAAAGUUUUCCCUGAACCAACUCCGUUUCUAGAUGAGGUAGAGAAGAUCUGCAUCUCACCAACUCUCUGGUCUCAGUAUUCAGACAAUGGAGGUCUCCCACUGUUAUCCAGGACCAGUUUGAAGCCCACAUACUUCCCCUCCCUCAUCAUCAGGAAACAUCAAUCCGUAUCCUGAGGACAACAGAAGACGGCAGGAGGACAGGAACUCUGAGACCUAGACACCACCAGCACCGAGACACAAAGCACCUGUGUGCACAACGCCUGUUUAACUACUAAAGCCUGUUUAUUAUAUUGUUCUACUUAUUUGCUGUGAGGUUAAUACUUAGAAAAUUUGUAUAUUAAUGUAAACAAUUAAAAAAAAUCACUGAUUGUAUGUUUUCUUUUAGAUGUAAUGGUCCAAACUCAGCCUUGUAGACAUUUAUUGCAUCCUGUAGGUAAAUACACAGAACAGGCUCAGGUCCAGGAUGACCCAGCAUGCUCUUCUUCCAUUCUGGCUGUUAGGGAUUUUAUCAAUAACUCAUUGCCUACUGAUGUUUUCACCUAACGGUAUUUAUUUAGAAUGCAGGUAAGAUUUAACUAUAUUUGUUAGCAAAGCAGACUGAUCUUGGGAAUUUCACUGCAGCACUGAUGUCCACCUCUCUGUACACAUUAGAGAGAAUUACCACUUUACAGCUAAACACAUUUAAUAAAGAUAUAGGCUACGCAUUGCAGACAAUAAAAACAAAGUUGUAAGCAUUAGAAUUAUAAUGAUCACAUUAAAGAACAUUUGGAGGAA